CUGACGAGUGGCGGACGGGUGAGUAAUGCUUGGGAAUCUGGCUUAUGGAGGGGGAUAACGACGGGAAACUGUCGCUAAUACCGCGUAUUAUCGGAAGAUGAAAGUGCGGGACUGAGAGGCCGCAUGCCAUAGGAUGAGCCCAAGUGGGAUUAGGUAGUUGGUGGGGUAAAGGCCUACCAAGCCUGCGAUCUCUAGCUGGUCUGAGAGGAUGACCAGCCACACUGGAACUGAGACACGGUCCAGACUCCUACGGGAGGCAGCAGUGGGGAAUAUUGCGCAAUGGGGGGAACCCUGACGCAGCCAUGCCGCGUGAAUGAAGAAGGCCUUCGGGUUGUAAAGUUCUUUCGGUAUUGAGGAAGGGAGAUGUGUUAAUAGCACACCUCAUUGACGUUAAAUACAGAAGAAGCACCGGCUAACUCCGUGCCAGCAGCCGCGGUAAUACGGAGGGUGCGAGCGUUAAUCGGAAUAACUGGGCGUAAAGGGCACGCAGGCGGUUAUUUAAGUGAGGUGUGAAAGCCCUGGGCUUAACCUAGGAAUUGCAUUUCAGACUGGGUAACUAGAGUACUUUAGGGAGGGGUAGAAUUCCACGUGUAGCGGU
rnacentral:rRNA from 1 species